rnacentral:rRNA from 1 species
CAGCAGCCGCGGUAAUACGUAGGGUGCGAGCGUUAAUCGGAAUUACUGGGCGUAAAGCGUGCGCAGGCGGUUGUGUAAGACAGGUGUGAAAUCCCCGAGCUUAACUUGGGAACUGCAUUUGAAACUGGCAAGCUAGAGUCUUGUAGAGGGGGGUAGAAUUCCAGGUGUAGCGGUGAAAUGCGUAGAGAUCUGGAGGAAUACCGGUGGCGAAGGCGGCCCCCUGGACAAAGACUGACGCUCAGGUGCGAAAGCGUGGGGAGCAAACAGGAUUAGAUACCCGCGUAGUCCCUGUCUCUUAUAC